UGCCCAGCAACUCCUAUCCUUGCCUCCUCGUGGUAUUGGCCGGGGUACAAGCAACCUUGGGGAAGAUCGGGUAACCAACCCCAGUGGGAACAUUGGUCAUAUGUUGACAGAGAAGG
rfam:Aedes aegypti strain Liverpool supercont1.107 genomic scaffold, whole genome shotgun sequence.